AAUAGUUUAACGUGAUUAAAGUUCUUGAAAUAUUUGUUCAUAUGAUUGUUAUGAUUAGAAUUUAUUAUUAUUUUUUUUUUCUGUUGGAAUUGUUUUGAAGUGAAUGGUCGGUGUUAAUUAAGGAGACAACGACAAUUUGGUCAACUUCACCACGAAACUAAAACUCUACGAUACGCUGUCGUAAAAGUGAAAGUUCCUUUUCUUCUUAAAAGAUUCAUACCAUUCCGCGCAAUACAAACGACGAAAGAACCGGAAAUAGACUGCCGGUUUGAUGGUGACUCCGCGUCCUUUAUCUCAGGCCCCACUGCCCAUUACGACAUCGUUUCUUGAUCACUGAUCAACAGAAUUUCCUUUUCUCAAUUCAACCAAAUUAAUUAAUUAAAAAGCAAGGCACAGGUAAUUUCCCGUAUUUUGUGUUUCUCUUUCUUUGGGUUCUGAUCAAAUUAAAAUCGCAUCAAUCGCUUGAUUUUCAAUCUGGUUCGUUAAAUAAUCUCUGUGUAUUUGAUUUACUGCUCUAUGAACUCGUAAUUCGAUUGUACAAAAUCUUUGGGUUUUGUUGCGUAAAUUUCUUUUCUUUGCAUAUGCUAAAGUGCGUUUGUAUGUGUAUAUGAUUCUCANNN
rnacentral:lncRNA from 1 species